AUGUAUGCUGAAUAUCCCCUCACUGGACAAUAUUGGAUUUUAGUGUAUACAAGCCCUCCUCUCAGCUGCUCAGGCAUAAACACCUUACUGCAAAUGUUCUUCGUGUCUCGCCUCCCCAUCGUGAUGGGUGGCUCCUACAGCUUCGCCAUGCCAACCAUCUCCAUCAUCUUGGCUGGACGCUACGACAUGUGGGAGAUCCUCACGAGUUUAACACAUAUUGGAGGGUGGGAGGAUAUACCGGUGCAAUGGAUGAACCAAGACUACCAAGAGGUCAAUUGCCUGAGUAUAUGCCAACUAUCUGAAUACAUAUGGCAUGAGACUGACGCCGAUUAG
rnacentral:rRNA from 1 species